rnacentral:misc_RNA from 1 species
AACGCACAUUGCGCUCCCUGGUAUUCCGGAGAGCAUGCCCGUUUCAGAAUCAAUAAAAAACCCUCACCUAGCCUCUUUGCUCUCGGGCAUCGGUGGGCUCUGGUUGGAUUUGGAUUUUUGCAUCUGCAAUCAUCUCAAAGUGAUUGUUUGUGCACCAAUUGAUCAUCUUUUGGUUGUUCAAGUGCAACAGAUUUUUCUAUUUCGCUUUUGCAACUGAUUGAAACCUUUGGUGCUCAGGCUCCUCCAAUGUUAGGUGCUUAAAUCGGAAUGAUUUGAGUGUCCCAAAAACCUUGAUCUGAAAUCGGGCAAGAAAACCCGCUGAACUUAA